GGGGUUGUGGCUCAGUGGCAGAGUGUUUGCCUAGCAUGCGUGAGGCACUGAGUUCAAUCCUCAGCACCACA
rnacentral:tRNA from 1 species